rnacentral:rRNA from 1 species
UACGUAGGGUGCGAGCGUUGUCCGGAAUUAUUGGGCGUAAAGAGCUCGUAGGCGGUCUGUCGCGUCUGCUGUGAAAACUCAGGGCUUAACCCUGAGCUUGCAGUGGGUACGGGGCAGACUAGAGUGCGGUAGGGGAGACUGGAAUUCCUGGUGUAGCGGUGAAAUGCGCAGAGUAUCAGGAGGAACACCGGUGGCGAAGGCGGGUCUCUGGGCCGUAACUGACGCUGGAGGAGCGAAAGCAUGGGGAGCGAACAGG